rnacentral:rRNA from 1 species
UACGGAGGGGGCUAGCGUUGUUCGGAAUUACUGGGCGUAAAGCGCACGUAGGCGGCUUUCUAAGUCAGGGGUGAAAUCCUGGAGCUCAACUCCAGAACUGCCUUUGAUACUGGAGAGCUUGAGUCCGGAAGAGGUGAGUGGAACUCCGAGUGUAGAGGUGAAAUUCGUAGAUAUUCGGAAGAACACCAGUGGCGAAGGCGGCUCACUGGUCCGGUACUGACGCUGAUGUGCGAAAGCGUGGGGAGUAAACAGG